AUAAGUCUUUAAAUAAUUAGAAUUUUGGUAAAUUCGGUAUUUACCAAAAACCAAACCAACUUUUUCGGUAUUUCUCGGUUUCAGUUUUUUUGAUUUCGAUUACCAAAAUUCGGUUUACCAAAUCACAAAUUUUCGGUCGGUUUUCGAUCGGUUUGGUAUUUACCAAACCAAGUGGUAGCCCUAGGUACAUGUUAUUUGUGAAAGUGUUGAAAAUGUGGUUUUAACUUUGUUCUUAAUUUUUGUCAUUUAACUUGUUUUGAGUAUCUCCUGAACUAUGCUUAAUGCAGGAGAUUCUUCCAUUCUAUGUGGAAGGAUAUAAUUUUUAUGAUGUGCUUUUUGUGUUGUUGAUGAUGUUAAAUUAAAGAAUAUGCUAUUGUUUGUUUUUAAAAAUAAAUGAGCUUGAUCGCUAACGGCUCAUAGGUGAGAUAAAACAAGUAGAUAGUUAAACUGGGUUCUAAGCCCUUAAUCGGGUGAUUGGUUGCGGUUAUGAUAAUUCUACUCUUUUUGAGAAUUGUGGUGUAGAUAGUCAAACUGGGUUCGAAGCCUUUAGUCGGAUGAUUGGUUACGGUUAUGACUCUAUUAUUAUUAUUAUUUUGUGAUGUGAUAUUGGACAGUCAAACUGGGUUCCAAGCCUUUGGCCGGGUGAUUAGUUACGGUUAGGAAUAGAGCUCUAGUCCGUCUGUCGGUGUAGGUCAUGGAAGAUACCUUAUGGUAUCUGGGACCCAUGGGUGCACAAAUUAUUGUUGCGGGUCAUGAGAGGUAUUUUUUUUAUAUCUGGGACUUAUGGGUACAUGUUAUUUGUGAAAGUGUUGAAAAUGUGAUUUUAACUUUGUUCUUAAUUGUUGUCAUUUAACUUGUUUUGAGUAUCUCCUGAACUAUGCUUAAUGCAAGAGAUUCUUCCAUUCUUAUUGUGUGAAUUUUGAGUGGAAUUUCCUGAACUAUUUUUAUUUGAAGGAUUCUCUUAUGAUUGAUUGUUUUGUGAAUUGUUAUGUUUUCUUAAUUACUUUCUUUGAAUUUUUAUUGUUGAGGAAAUUCCUGAACUAAGUUUUAAGCAGGAAUUUCCGGUUUUAUUUUUGUGUAUGUUGGGUUGAGAUAUAUUUUGAGAGUUACUCAUACGGGCUUUUUAGCUUACCGGGUUUGUUGUUUACAACCCGAUGCACCUAUUUUUGCUGUAGGGGUUAGACCUGCAGGUGAUAAUCAGCAGGGUUGAGGCGGUGGCUUAGGAACUGGGUUUUAGACAAUGUGCAAUUUUUGUAUAUUUUGUUAAUUUGUCUAUAAGCUCAUGUGAGCGACGUUAUUAUUACUAGACUUUUGAAGUUGAUGUAAUUAAGGAGAUAUAAUGUUUAACUCAGUUGUUGAGUUUGUUGACAUUUACAUUUCCAGUAUUUGUUUUUAGUUUGUUAGUUGUUGAGCAGGUUUUGAGAUAUUAAGAUUUUAAGUUAUAUCAUGCCCAAAUUUUUGAAAAUUUAUCCUUCGAAAAUUGGGGUGUGACAUCUUGUUGGGGUCAAUAGGACUUCCUACUAGGGGAAUAUGACCCUUGAACUUAACUGUGUGUUUCAGUCACUUAUAACAGGUCCCUAUUAGGAGCAGUAUGACCACCUAUUGGGGUCAGUAAGACCUCCUACUAGGGUCAGUAUGACCCUUGAACUUAACUAUGUGCUUCAGUCACUUAUAACAGGUCCCUAUUGAGGGCAAUAUGACCACCUACUGGGGUCAGUAGGACCUCCUACUAGGGGCAGUAUACAUGAAAGAUGGGAGAGUAGGAGUGUCUAUUGGGAGCA
rnacentral:lncRNA from 1 species